AUUGUAUUCAAAAAACGUGGACCAAAUCAGAUAAUACGGUUAUUUUUUGUACAAAUAUCUGAACCCGUUUCAGAUACAUUUGUUAUUUAGAUAUUUUUAGGUUUCUAUAUAUCAGAACUGGACUCAUCCACACCCAGAACAACCCAAUAAAAAAUCAUACAUAAAUUUAUAAUAUUCAAGAGGAGUCUAAUUUAAAAAAAACGAUACCCGAAAAAAAUAAUCCGUACCUAAAUAGAUAGCAAAUAUUCAUGCCUAACUGAUUUUAUAAACUAAUAAAAAAAGAUUAUUUCUAUGUUUUUGGCUAAAUUAAGUGAAAUAGAAAGAUUUUUCUCAUUUAGUAAAAUAACUAUAUGAAGUGAAAAUUUAAGUGACAACAAAUGUAAUACAUUUUUAUUAUUUUGAUUUAAAUUAUUAUUUUAUUUAUAAAAACAUGUAAUUGCAUUAUGUUUUUAGCUAUGUAAUUUUUCACUGAUUGAAACUAAAAAAAAAUAAAAAAUUUAGUGAAACAAGCUAAACCAAAUGUUUGAUUUUAUAAUUGACACAAAGUUAAUGUUGAUUAACUAAUAAAUAAAAGCAUGCACUAUUAUUAUAUAAUAAUAUAAUUAAUGAUAUGAUGUAUUGUUAAGUUAAUAUAAUUAAUAAAAUUAUUAAAUUGGGUGAAAAAUGAAAAAGGCAAUUAAUGUAAUUAUAUUAAUAAAAUUACCUAAAACUACGAUUUCCUUUUCACAAAAUGUUAUCUUUGAUUUAUUUAUCCAAAAAUUAAUAUUGUUACGACCCUUUUUAUUAGACAACUUAAAGUUUGAUGAUAUGUUUUAAAUGAGAUUAUAUAAUUUCAUGUAUUUAUACUAUUAUUUGAUAAGUGAAUUUGCUUACUUGUUAUAUUUUCCAUGAUUUUAGAAAAAGUCAUUAAUUUAGUAUUAUUUUAAAAAUAGUUUUGAUAUAUUUAAGAUAAUUAAUAAAAAAUAUUAAUUAAUUCUGUCAAUAUACAUAUACUGUUAUUUUUUUAGAAGUAUUAUAAUAUAUUAAUUAAAAAUAGUUAUUAAACAAAUUCUACCGAUAAUAUCAUUAAUUACGAUUUCUCAUGGUGGUCAGUUCUUAUCUUCUGUUCACUAAGUCUUAGUGAAUUUUUUUUGACCCAUCAUUAAAAAUCAAGACUUUGAUUCUGUUUUUGCAGGUUUGUAUUUACACCCUUGUGGUGGCUGUGUCAUGCUGUGAUUUCGCGUGGUAGAUGCUCGUUGCCUUCUCCACCAAUGCCUCAUGAUUAGAAUUGGACUCCUUUUCAAUAUGUCAUGGCAACGCCACUGCUUGUUGCUUUCGAGAUCCUUCUCUUUCUAUAUCUUGAAGAUAAUUAUGAUGUUGACUUAAAGUUUGUCUUCUUACCCUUGCUUGCGUUCGAGGUAGCUAUCUUGGUAUAUAACGUCAGGUAUUACAUCGAAUUUUUAAGGUUUUGGUUUUGUUCACCCAUCUUACUUCUAGAUUGUUUUCAUUUUUACCAUUGUUGGCUUUGUUUACUUUUUUCCCUUUUAGUGAUGACUGACAUGCAACUUUUCCUGCAGAAAGUGCUUGACUUGCAUGCCUAGAGAUAGGAGUGGGAACUUUACCCGAUAUCCGAAGUGGCAUCCGAAUCCGAUCCAAAAAACCCGAACCGAAAUCCGAAUCGAAGUAGCAAAAUACCCGAACGGGUAUUGAAUAAGAAGAGAUUGGAUACCCGAA